GUUUAGCCUUGAUUGAAACGGCAUCCUUUUUUAUUUUUCUUAAAAAAGAUACAGUGAAAAGCAAGAAAUAGC
rnacentral:sRNA from 1 species